CGGAAACCCUCUGAGUGUCUCUAGUGGUUCUGUUGUGCCUCAGCGUAUUGACUCAAGUGAAGAUAUUUAACUUUGAUGGACCUUUUGAUUUUAAGGAAGAGCCAGAAGCCAUACGCGGUACAUGUUUGGUGAGCGAGAGAGACUAGGGCACGCUGUGGUGUUUUUAGGAAUCUAUCUUUUGGAUGGCAUUUGGUGAUAGUAUUCACGGCAUUUUUUUUUAAUCACACCUUUUAAAUAAACUCACUGAAAAGAACUUUGAGAAGUGUUUCAGAAAGUGACAACAAUGACGGAAUCAGCCUACUCAGGGUGAGCUUCAAGAUGUAACUCUUUGGACUUGAAUAUGAAGAGAAAAGGGAUAAAAAGGCCCCUUCAAGGUUUCUGCUUUUUGUUACUUUGUUUUGUCAAAUAGAUGGAAAAUUGGGAUGAUUCAUGUUUGAUACACUGAGAAUGUUUUCUCCUCACGGCAGGCUGAAAUUUCAUGACGUGGACUGUGUAGUCUAUGACUGCUUCCAAGAAAACAGAAUUGACCCCUGUUGUACCAUGAUUUUUCUGACAGUGAAAUGGGAAGGCCAUGAGGUCAGGCAACCAGAAGCUACAACUCCCCAGAAGGGCAUCAAGUACCUUACAAAGAUUUACAUUUGGAGCAUUCAUGGAAUUUUCAAUGUAUCCGGAGACCUUAAGCUAAGCAUCAGGAAGACAGAAGGAAAUCAUGCAUGGUCACUCAGAAGAGGCAAAAACAUAAUGAGGUGAUUAGAACCUGAGGAACUCAAAACAGAGACAACUAUACAGACUAAGGUGAGACCAUACUAAUCAAAGCAGAUUUCCAUACAUGUAUAUCCAGGACCAGCA
rnacentral:lncRNA from 1 species